rnacentral:lncRNA from 1 species
AUGAAUGAACUGGCUUUUGUCCCUAGGUAUUUAAAGCCUACUGGGAAUAGUAUCUCACCAGACAUUAUUGAUUUUGGGAAGAAAGAAUGUUUUGCCAUGUUGUUUCUGAAAAACUUGUCUGAUGGUGUCAGGGUUCCAGGUGUGGGAGGGAAAAGUCUUUGGGUACCUCCUUUCACUGGCCCAUCUCUGAUCACAGACUGGCUUCUGGGACUCCUUCAGUAAAGAUGAUAAGAAGACCAAAAAGCUGUGUUGGCCUCACAUGCCUUAUUAUCCAGUAAGUCCGACCACCUCAGUGACAAUGUGGUAUAUUUUAUAUCUCUAUAGUGUAGCAUCUAAAUUUGGGAAAUUGUUAUCUCUUUGGUUUUAUGGAAACUGUAAAUAGAUUAGGAUUUGGGUUCAUUUUAUCUUUCCUAAAGCAAACAGGCUCCAAGUCUUGUAUAGUUUCUUUGGAGAAGUCAGAAGCUGAGAUAGAG